AGCAGCCGCGGUAAUUCCAGCUCCAAUAGCGUAUAUUAAAGUUGUUGCAGUUAAAAAGCUCGUAGUUGAAUUUCGGGAUCAGUACGUUGGUCAUGCCUUCGGUAUGUACUGGUGUCACUGAUUCCUCCCUUCUGAAGAACUGUCAUGUCAUUCACUUGGUGUGGCAGGGAAUCAGGACUGUUACUUUGAAAAAAUUAGAGUGUUUAAAGCAGGCUCGCGCUUGAAUACAUUAGCAUGGAAUAAUGGAAUAGGACGUUGAUCCUAUUUUGUUGGUUUCUAGGAUUGACGUAAUGAUUAAUAGGGAUAGUUGGGGGCAUUAGUAUUCAAUUGUCAGAAGUGAAAUUCUUGGAUUUAUUGAAAACUAACUACUGCGAAAGCAUUUGCCAAAGAUGUUUUCAUUAAUCAAGAACGAAAGUUAGGGGAUCGAAGACGAUCAGAUACCGUCGUAAUCUUAACCAUAAACUAUGCCGACUAGGGAUCGGAUGAUGUUAAUUUUUUAAUGACUCAUUUCGCGCCUUACG
rnacentral:rRNA from 1 species